AUGAACUGUUGGAAUUAACUGGCUCUCUGCCGCCGCACAGUCACGCCUGGCGAUUCUCUUUUUGGAACAAUAUUUUCAAGUCAAAUGGUGAGGAAAGUUUUUGCAUUCAUCCGUAUGAAAGGAGACCAGUUAAAGGAAAGUGUAUCGAGUGAAUUCUCGGGGAACAAAGUGAUACUCACGACCAGUGGAGGUCUCGCAAACGGUCUUCAGACUUUCUCUAACGAAUGUAUAAACGCAGGUGAGCUCGGAGACAGUCCGUUGAAGGCAUUUAUUUACAUCUGAUGCCGGCGCAGCGUGUCAACUCCGACCAGCAACUACCCUGACAGUGUUGAUUUGACACCAAUGUGACACCAUGGGUUUUGCAGUGUAAACCCUCCAGCUUGUUGCACUUCUCAUCGACUGUGAAGUGUGCCGGUGAGCUGAACUCGGCCUAGCAAACGUCCCCCGAUUUGCGGGGGAUAAGUGGUGGGUGAUCGUUGGUAUUGACAAGAAGGAAGCAUACAUUCUGUCUAGAAAGUUUCCUUUAACAACUCAGCAGACUUAAUUUACCGUAAAAGUUUUUUAAAACAUCUUUUUCCAAGAUUGUCGGAGUGCAAAUUUUUCAGGAGUUCAGCUUUUAGGAGUUUUUAGAGUCACUCUUUGCGGUCAUUUUGACACCAUUUUUGCAAACAU